GACGAACGCUGGCGGCGUGCUUAACACAUGCAAGUCGAGCGGUAAGGCCCUUUCGGGGGUACACGAGCGGCGAACGGGUGAGUAACACGUGGGUGACCUGCCCUCAGCUCUGGGACAAGCCUGGGAAACUGGGUCUAAUACUGGAUAUGACUCCACGGUGCAUGUCGUGGGGUGGAAAGCCUUGUGCGGCUGAGGAUGGGCCCGCGGCCUAUCAGCUUGUUGGUGGGGUGAGGCCUACCAAGGCGACGACGGGUAGCCGGCCUGAGAGGGCGACCGGCCACACUGGGACUGAGACACGGCCCAGACUCCUACGGGAGGCAGCAGUGGGGAAUCUUGCGCAAUGGGCGAAAGCCUGACGCAGCGACGCCGCGUGAGGGAUGACGGCCU
rnacentral:rRNA from 1 species